rnacentral:tRNA from 1 species
GGGAGUGUGGCGGAAUGGUAGACGCUACGGACUUAAAAUCCGUUGACUGUAAGGUCGUAUGGGUUCAAGUCCCUUCACUCCCA